rnacentral:tRNA from 1 species
GGAGGUGUCGCCUAGUUAGGUCUAUGGCGCCCGCCUGCUAAGCGGGUUGAGGGCUUAAUACCCUCUCGUGGGUUCAAAUCCCACCACCUCCG